AUGAAUUUCGUAAGUUGGAACUGUCGGGGAGGGGAGAAUACCCGGACAGUUCGUGAGUUAGCGACUAUGGUACAGUCGCAUUCCCCCACUUUUGUGUUCUUGUGUGAGACUAGACAAAAGGAAGCUAUGAAGAAGUUGCGUGGGCGUUUGGGCCUCAAAGGGUUUGCAGGUGUUGAUAGUAAUGGUAUGAGCGGUGGUUUAGCUUUCUAUUGGCAUGAAUCUUCUGUAGUGGAAAUUGUGGACAAGGACGAGCGAUACAUUGAUGCUUUCGUCCGGUUACAUGAGGGUGCUGUUCAGUGGAGAAUCACGUGUGUUUAUGGUGAACCUCGUACUGAAAAUUUUCAUCUUAUGUGGUCAAAACUGCAGUACCUAAAAAAUACAAGUGAUCUCCCAUGGUUACUGAUUGGGGAUUUUAAUGUAGCUUUAUGGAGCUUUGAACAUAUGUCUGCCACUCCUCGUGCUGAAACACAAAUGGUAGCCUUUCGGGACACACUAGAGAUGUGUGGUUUGAUUGACUUGUGA
rnacentral:rRNA from 1 species